UUAAAAUCACACCUCUUAGUAAAAACUCCCAUCCCUUUCUCUCUCUCUAUCUAUCUCUCCCACAAUCCUCCCUCACUCUUCAGGUCUUCUCUGAAAUCAACUUUCAACAGUGGUAAUUCUAAUGGUAAUGUAUACUCAUUUCAAUUACAAUUCGAUGUUUUAUUCUUUUCAAUUUAUCUUAAUACAAUUGUUAUGUUUGUCUCUUAAGAUGUGAUGUGUGUUGUGGAUGGAAAAUUUCUAGGAGACAAACAUAAGUGUAUCAAUUUCUACCUUCAUUGCAAUAACAAUAAAUUAUGUAAAUCCUGCAAAAAAUUUGGUCACAUAGAUCAUCGAGUAAUCCAAAUCGGUGUUGUUUGAUUUGACAGGAAGAUCUAUGUGAUAUGUCAAUGAUCUAUACGUUUUCGAGUUAAAGUUUUCAUAAUUUUAUUUUUGUUAAAUCAAGCAGGUUUAAUUCUCUUUUUUUACUUGCAAUUGCAAAUCAUAUAUGGAUAUUGUCUUAUAAUUAAGUUUUUCAUACCACUUUCAAUUGCAAGCUUGUAGACAUCCUUACAAUUUUUUUUUGUGGUGGCCGGGAUUUGAACCCCAGACCUUGCAUAUCAACUGAGAUAAGCUCACAAAGACAGAUAUAUCAUUGAGAUAUCAUAUAAAUCUAGCUAUCAAACUAAACAACACCUACUUGGAUUACUCGAUGAUUUUUGUGACCUGAUUUUAUGCAACAUCUACAUAAGACAUUAUCAGUGCAAUCAAGGCAGAACUUGUUACAUUCAUUUCGAAGACAUUUUGGUGGACUUCGCAUGUUGUGAAGAAUGUGAUGAUGGCUAGAAAUUUUUUCAGCCAGGUCACACAUAUCAUAUCUUAAAGACAAACACAACAAAUGUAAUAAUAAAAAUUUAAAAAGAAUUAAACAUAAAAUUGCAAUUGGAAUAUGUAUACAUUACCGUUCCAGAUGCCAUUAUUGAAAGUUGAUUUUGGAGAAGUCUUAAAGAGAGGGAACUUCUUUGAAGAGUUCACAGGAGAACAUUUUUGCUCUAAGAGCUUUUUUUUAUUUAUAAAAGAGGCUAAUUUAUUCACUCAAAUGUUGUGGAGGAAUACCACUAUAGCAUCACAUAAUACAAUAGGUUGCAGAUAGUCAAGAACAUGAUCAAGAACAGUAAUAGAAAAAGGCGCCGAAUGCCCACAUUGGGCAAGCAUUUGAGCACAACGAUUUGCCUUGCUUAGAGAAGUAAUAUGUAGAUUUCUUGGAGAAGAAGGAUCAAAUGAGUAUAAGUGGUAUGACCUUUCUUGGCCAUAUGAAAAAGAGCAAGAGAAUCGGUUUCAAAGACGACCUCUAUAACACCCAAAUCACGAGCAAGAUAGAGACCGCUUCGAAGGUCCCAAGCAUCAGCAAAUAGAGGUACUAGAACUAACUUUACAAUAUAAGCCCUUUAAUAAAUUACAAUGAUGAACUUGAAGAGUACCUCCACACUCCGACGAACCACUGCUAUGUAUAUGAGAACCAUCAACAUUCAUUUUGAGCACUCCAUGGGGCAGUUUCGACCAAAAGGCAUGAAAUAUAGGAAUAUUACUUGUUCUCAAAUAUGCAUUCGUCGAACUAUGAAUCUCAUCUACCUGAUUAAUAACUUUGGACCAAAGAGUGUGAUCCAAUAAAUAGGAGCAUUUUACUACUUUAUGUUUUAUUUUCAAUAAAUAGGAAAUAUAAAAUGGUGGAACUAUGAUGAAAAUAUUGCAUUUGUUGAAAUAUUUUACACUUAGCCUUGUAACUACAAGAAAUGGCAGGAACUCGUACCCCUAGUUCCUACAAAUCGGCAUGUAUCUUUGUAUUUGGACCAAGCUUCCACCAUUGUAAACUCUAGCAAAAACUCUUGUAAUUUUUCAUUUCAUUUUAAUAAAGUUUUCUUCUUAUUCUUGUU